UACGGCGGGAGCUAGCGUUGUUCGGAAUUACUGGGCGUAAAGCGCACGUAGGCGGCUAUUCAAGUCGGGGGUGAAAGCCCGGGGCUCAACCCCGGAACUGCCCUCGAAACUAGAUAGCUAGAAUCUUGGAGAGGCGAGUGGAAUUCCGAGUGUAGAGGUGAAAUUCGUAGAUAUUCGGAAGAACACCAGUGGCGAAGGCGACUCGCUGGACAAGUAUUGACGCUGAGGUGCGAAAGCGUGGGGAGCAAACAGG
rnacentral:rRNA from 1 species